rnacentral:rRNA from 1 species
AUGCCGCCGCCGCCGUCGCUGCCGGACGGAAUCGUCGAGGAUAUCUUCCUCCGCCUUCCGCCGGACGAGCCCGCGUGCCUCGUUCGCGCCUCCCUCGCCAGCAAGCUCUGGCUCGGCCAUCUCACCGGCCCUCGCUUCCGCGGCCGCUACCGCGAGCUCCAUGGAGCGCCCCCCAUGCUGGGCUUCCUUUACGAUUGGUUCUGGGACUACGUGCCGGAGGAGAAAGAUGCCGUCCCGCGCUUCGUCUCCACCACGGGAUUCGGCGCGCGCGUCCCCCCCGACCACCACUGGGGGGACUCGGGCUCGGACUACAACGCGUUGGACUGCCGCCAUGGCCGCGUUCUCCUCGGGGAUUAUGGCGCGCCCAUUCCGCUCGUCGUUUGGGACCCCAUGACAGGCCGCCAAACCAAGAUGGAAGCGCCCAAAGGACAGGAUAUCGGCAGCGGGGCCGCGGUGCUCUGUGCCGUCACCGGCUGUGACCACCGCGCGUGUCAUCAGGGCGCCUUCAGGGUCGUCGUCUUCGGCAGCAUGACCACCCAUGUUUAUCAUCCUGUUACUAUUAUACAGGUGUGCGUGUCCUCGCCGGAGACGGGUGAGUGGAGCCAGCCGUGCCCUGGUCUUGAUCUCGGAGUUGACGCAUUCAUCAUGCCGGUGCCCCCUGUCGUCAUCCGAGAUGCAGUUUACUUGAUGCAUGCGCGUGGUGAGCAUGAUCACAUUGCAGGAAUUCUCAAGUACGACUUGGGCUCUAAUUGCUUAUCGCUGAUUGACAUGCCCCUGCCGGGGGCUGUCAAUGUCGGCGACGUCAUCCUCAUGGCCAUGGAGGAUGGCAGCUUGGGGCUUGCACAUGCCAGUGGAUCAACCCUCUACCUGUGGUCAAGCUCAAGCCAGAUGGGUGUUGCGACAUGGACUCAGCGUAGAGCCAUCGAUCUCAAAAGCCUUCUUCCCAUUCAAAAUCCCAUGGAAGGACUUAGACUGAUUGGAUCCAUGGAAGGCAGUGAUAUCAUCUUCGUGCUUACGGACCUUGGCAUCUACCAGAUUAAUCUUAACUCACUACAGUGGAACAAGAUAUGGAAGAGACAGAAAUUCUUUGCUUUGAUUCCGUACAUGAGUUUCCACAAUCCACAAGAAAGGAUGACCCCCUGA